CGAUUUUGACCCUUCAUCAUUGUUGUAUAUUUGGGACAAAAUGCUCGUCUUCUAUAAAGCUCACACCAAAUCUUAAUCAUAAAGAGUGGGGAUGAGAGAGAGAGAAAAGAAGAAGAAGAAGAAGAAAACGGGGCUGAAAAACUUCACUGCCAUUUUUCAAAAUCAGACGACCCGUUUCCUUUCAAAGGUUAGCCAAAAAGUUCCCAUACACACCCAUUAGCGAGCUUCUUCUUUACCAAAAAAAAAACCUAAAAUAAUUAGAUCAUCAUUUUCAAACCACCUUCUAGCUAUAACUGGAAACAAAAAAACAAUACAGCCUCUCUCAUCAGCGCUGCCUCUUUCGCCACCCUCGAGUUACUAUCUUGCCCCACGUUGACUCCAGGAACCAUAGCCGCUGCUUCCACAGUACCAUUAACCUGAGGUGUUCAUUACCGGAAUCAUAACCCAAGGCAGGCCAGGAGCCCACUCACAACGUCCAUGUGCAUCUUCAGCGUGGUCGUUCUACUUUCUUGCCUCUGACCUCUCCGGACUUAGCUUUAUUCAAGCACUAGCCACUCAAAAAAAGAGUGAAGAAGAGGUACGGGAUAUCCAGUGGAGCUAUCUCCGUCAUAAUCACUCAAGGUAUAAAGCUUCUACCUAUUCUCAUUUAGUUGUAAUCUUUUACAUGUGCAUGCUACUGCAAAGGCAAGCUCCAGUUUUUCCUUUAUGUGCUAUGAAGUUAACAUAUAGUGUUGUAAGGUGUGUGGAUCUUUUAAGUCCUAACCUGGUCACGGGUGUUCUUUCACUUGCUACGGGUACUGAAGGGGAUGGGGUGUGAUUUUUGCUUCAAACGCAUAUGGUCUUGAAAACUUGAUUGCAUGUCCUAAGGUCAUGUUAAGACCUUGCCUAGUUAAUUAAGAAUGCUCUUACCCAAGGUUAAAGUUCAAGAACGGUAUGAGAAGGUGGAAAAAGAUGUUGAUAACUAUAGGGGUCAUAGGUUUCCCUUCUUUUUUUUUUUUUUUUUUUUUUUUGUCUUUAGAAAAUAAAAAUACAUAGGACUGUCAGGGAGUUUUUCCAUACCAUGCUUGGGCUUUGGAUGUAUGUUUCCUUGACAUGAGAUGAUUGCUACCUUGCUUUAGAUCCCUUGUUAACGAUGAUGCAUGAACCAGGCAUGGAAAUCUUCAAUGACUAUCGUGCAUGAUUUUUAUGUUCAAAAGAUCCAGUCCUCUAGCUGUGCAUAAUUAUUGGCCAAGCCGUAAAUAAAAUGAUUUUUGGUUGAAGAAGAA